UUCAAAGCCUAGUGCAGCAUGUUAGCAUAGCAUGUUAGCAUAGCAUGUCUACAGUGUUUGAUUCUGUUCACUAAAGAUGUGUUGGUCUGAAACGUCCCCCAUCAGAACCAGAACCCUCUGAUACUGAAUGCUGGAGUCAGAUUGUCAACAACCAAUCAACAGACACUUCUUGUCCUCUGGUUCCUCCCAAACAUUUGAUCCAAUAUCCAAUCAGGACAUGUCCCUCUCUUUUUUUGAUUAGAGCUCGUUGUCUCCUGAUUAAACUGUUUGUUCUUGUAAAACAUGCAAACAGAAUGAAAUGAACGCUGCCAUGCACCAAUCAGCCAAUCAGCAUCCAGCCCAAGACUUCACCUUUGAGGACGGAGCCUGACCCUUCCUGUUACCUUUGAUGUCAUUAAUCAGUCACAUGAUCAGGAGACACUUCAGUUUCUUUAUGGACGACGACUCGUGUGACCGACAGCUCAGGAUGCUGCCGCCGCGCCUCACUUAGUGCCACCGCCAGAGCCUUCGAGAGAGACAUGGGGUUAGACCUGGUCCAGGCCCAGGUCUGGGUUCUGUCCUGGGGCAAUCCAAGUCUAGGUCUUUGACGGUUUAAUUUUGAUUGUCUUUUUUUAAAGUCUUGGAUUUGCUGUGUUGUGUUCAAAUGGACAAAUUGCUCUUGUGUGAUUUGUUUUAGUGGUCCAGAACCUGCGACUUCUCUCUUCGACUGUUCCGGUCUGAAGCACAUUUUAUUAAGAGUUUCUGUGAUUCUACAACGAGCAAAGAUCAAGAAUAAUAAAAAAGUUAAUAUAGAGUCGCAGAUAUUUAGGUGAUCGGUUCUCCAGUUGUAUAACUCAGUUCACUAUUUAAACCACAUGUAACAUAAUAACUGCAGUAACUCACAGACAUGUCGACACAGAUGUGACUUCUGACCUGAUGGUCCAGGACCUGAAUCGUUGCUCGUCAGCGACGUCCCUCAACGUUCUUAUCAAACUGUUCAGGCUGAAAUUCUGCCCAGUUAUAAAAGUGGUGACUCUGUACUAUG